rnacentral:rRNA from 1 species
GGGCAGCAAGUGGGAAUAUUGCGCAAUGGGCGAAAGCCUGACGCAGCGACGCCGCGUGAAGGAUGAAGGCCUUCGGGUUGUAAACUUACAUUAAAAAGCAUCGGCUAACUACGUGCCAGCAGCAGCGGUAAUACGUAGGAUGCAAACAUUGUCCGGAUUUAUUGGGCGUAAAGAGUUCUGUAGGCGGGGUAAAAAGUUGUCUGUUAAAGACCUUGGCUUAACCAAGGAAGUGCAUGCAAUACUAUUACCCUAGAGUUACCUAGGGGUAGACGGAACAUAUGGAGUAGGAGUGAAAUCCGUUGAUACCAUAUGGAACACCAAAGGCGAAGGCAGUCUACUGGGGGUUAACUGACGCUAAGAGACGAAAGCGUGGGGAGCAAAACGGAUUAGAUACCCCGGUAGUC